AUUCCAGAUGUUUUGUGUCGUACACACCAUUUUCAGAACCCUGUUGGUCAUUAUAUCAUUAUGUAUGACAGUUUUACUUUGUAUUCUGUUUGCAUAGGCAAAGGUGAAUAGAUCAUACCACAAAAAUACAUAAAUAGGAUGCAUAUCAUUGAAGUGUGUACAUUAUUAAAAAAUAAUGCCAUUGUGCCGUUCUGUAGACACAAUAGAAACCACAAGACAGAAGGUUAACUGGUUUAUAAAUGUCUGCAGAACUCCCGAGGACAGCAUUAUUUUUUCAUAACGUAGACUUCACCACUAUGUAUUUUUUAUAUAUGACGCCUUUUUAAAUAAUUA